rnacentral:rRNA from 1 species
AUAUCAAUAAGCGGAGGAAAAGAAACCAACAGGGAUUGCCCCAGUAACGGCGAGUGAAGCGGCAAUAGCUCAAAUUUGAAAUCUGGCCCUUUCAGGGUCCGAGUUGUAAUUUGCAGAGGGCGCUUUGGCGUCGGCAGCAGCCUAAGUUCCUUGGAACAGGUCAUCAUAGAGGGUGAGAAUCCCGUAUGUGGCUGCUUGCCUUCACCGUGUAAAGCCCCUUCGACGAGUCGAGUUGUUUGGGAAUGCAGCUCUAAAUGGGAGGUAAAUUUCUUCUAAAGCUAAAUAUUGGCCAGAGACCGAUAGCGCACAAGUAGAGUGAUCGAAAGAUGAAAAGCACUUUGGAAAGAGAGUCAAAAAGCACGUGAAAUUGUUGAAAGGGAAGCGCUUGCAGCCAGACGUGCCCGCAGUUGCUCAUCCGGGGUUCUCCCCGGUGCACUCUUCUGCGGGCAGGCCAGCAUCAGUCCGGGCGGUUGGAGAAAGACCUGUGUCAUGUAGCUCUCUUCGGGGAGUGUUAUAGGGCAGGUGGAAUGCGACCAGCCUGGACUGAGGUCCGCGCAUCUGCUAGGAUGCUGGCGUAAUGGCUGUAAGCGGCCCGUCUUGAAACACGGACCAAGGAGUCUAACAUCUAUGCGAGUGUUUGGGUGUCAAGCCCGAGCGCGUAAUGAAAGUGAACGGAGGUGGGAACCCCUCGGGGUGCACCAUCGACCGAUCCUGAUGUCUUCGGAUGGAUUUGAGUAAGAGCAUAGCUGUUGGGACCCGAAAGAUGGUGAACUAUGCCUGAAUAGGGUGAAGCCAGAGGAAACUCUGGUGGAGGCUCGCAGCGGUUCUGACGUGCAAAUCGAUCGUCAAAUUUGGGCAUAGGGGCGAAAGACUAAUCGAACUAUCUAGUAGCUGGUUCCUGCCGAAGUUUCCCUCAGGAUAGCAGUAACGUUUUCAGUUUUAUGAGGUAAAGCGAAUGAUUAGAGGCCUGGGGGUUGAAACAACCUUCACC